UACGGAGGGUGCGAGCGUUAUCCAGAAUUACUGGGUUUAAAGGGUGCGUAGGCGGCCCUGUAAGUCAGGAGUGAAAGUUUGCGGCUCAACCGUAAAAUUGCUUUUGAUACUGCGGGGCUAGAAUUAGGAUGAGGUCAGCGGAAUGUGGCAUGUAGCGGUGAAAUGCAUAGAUAUGCCAUAGAACACCAAUUGCGAAGGCAGCUGGCUAGACCUGGAUUGACGCUGAGGCACGAAAGCGUGGGGAGCGAACAGG
rnacentral:rRNA from 1 species